UAGGGAAUCUUCGGCAAUGGACGAAAGUCUGACCGAGCAACGCCGCGUGAGUGAAGAAGGUUUUCGGAUCGUAAAACUCUGUUGUUAGAGAAGAACAAGGACGUUAGUAACUGAACGUCCCCUGACGGUAUCUAACCAGAAAGCCACGGCUAACUACGUGCCAGCAGCCGCGGUAAUACGUAGGUGGCAAGCGUUGUCCGGAUUUAUUGGGCGUAAAGCGAGCGCAGGCGGUUUCUUAAGUCUGAUGUGAAAGCCCCCGGCUCAACCGGGGAGGGUCAUUGGAAACUGGGGGACUUGAGUGCAGAAGAGGGGAGUGGAAUUCCAGGUGUAGCGGUGAAAUGCGUAGAUAUAUGGAGGAACACCAGUGGCGAAGGCGGCUCUCUGGUCUGUAACUGACGCUGAGGCUCGAAAGCGUGGGGAGCAAACAGG
rnacentral:rRNA from 1 species